UGGGGCUCAGCCCAUGUCUGCUCCUCUUCUGCUUCUCUUCUCUCAUGUGAUCGCCUCCCAGGAAGAGCUGCCUUUGCCGUGGGUCAGCAGAUGGAGCUGUUCAUCUCACAGGAGCCCUGAGGAAUGAUCACAUCCUCGGGAUGUGGGAGGUGAUCCAGGAGCAGCCCCACCGCGGAGGUUCCUACAGCAAGAAGCUGAAGAAAUUAUUGCACAGUGCAGGAGAAACUCCUCAGGUGUUUGGUUUCUGAAAUGUCAAAUCUGCUUCCAAGAAAACACGUUUCUCCUGGCACUCUCUUGGGACAGGAAUGGACACAGUGACUUCUACGCGUGCUAUGAGAUGGAGAUAACGAGGAUCUGAGGUAUUUCUAAAUGCAAACUUGUGCAGCGUGUGUUUAUAUCUCACAAAAUCCUUUAAAUCCCAAUAUUCCUCAUGGAUCCAAUCUUGUGACGGUCUUUCAGAAUGGCUUCCAGAUCCUUAAAACCUCACACUUUUUCAUAGACUGAACCAGGUUAGUGUUGGUAGAUGAAGAUUGGGAUCAGGGAGCUCACACAACCCACUGAAGGGUGUCUGCCUGCAUU
rnacentral:lncRNA from 1 species